AAAUUGAAGAGUUUGAUCAUGGCUCAGAUUGAACGCUGGCGGCAGGCCUAACACAUGCAAGUCGAGCGGAAACGAGUUAUCUGAACCUUCGGGGAACGAUAGCGGCGUCGAGCGGCGGACGGGUGAGUAAUGCCUAGGAAAUUGCCCUGAUGUGGGGGAUAACCAUUGGAAACGAUGGCUAAUACCGCAUGAUGCCUACGGGCCAAAGAGGGGGACCUUCGGGCCUCUCGCGUCAGGAUAUGCCUAGGUGGGAUUAGCUAGUUGGUGAGGUAAGGGCUCACCAAGGCGACGAUCCCUAGCUGGUCUGAGAGGAUGAUCAGCCACACUGGAACUGAGACACGGUCCAGACUCCUACGGGAGGCAGCAGUGGGGAAUAUUGCACAAUGGGCGCAAGCCUGAUGCAGCCAUGCCGCGUGUGUGAAGAAGGCCUUCGGGUUGUAAAGCACUUUCAGUCGUGAGGAAGGCGGCGUCGUUAAUAGCGGCGUUGUUUGACGUUAGCGACAGAAGAAGCACCGGCUAACUCCGUGCCAGCAGCCGCGGUAAUACGGAGGGUGCGAGCGUUAAUCGGAAUUACUGGGCGUAAAGCGCAUGCAGGUGGUUUGUUAAGUCAGAUGUGAAAGCCCGGGGCUCAACCUCGGAAUUGCAUUUGAAACUGGCAGACUAGAGUACUGUAGAGGGGGGUAGAAUUUCAGGUGUAGCGGUGAAAUGCGUAGAGAUCUGAAGGAAUACCGGUGGCGAAGGCGGCCCCCUGGACAGAUACUGACACUC
rnacentral:rRNA from 1 species